CGGGGUGUAGCUCAGCAUGGCUAGAGCGCUGCGUUUGGGACGCAGAAGUCGCUGGUUCAAGUCCAGUCACCCCGA
rnacentral:tRNA from 1 species